rnacentral:lncRNA from 1 species
ACCAAUUUACCAAAGUAUACAGAAGGACCGUGCUACCCACGUAUGGAUUUCCAUACACACUGAAUUUAAAGUUGACGCAGGGACAUGAAAAUCAAGAAAGACUACAAAUUGAAAUAUACGAAAACAUAUAUAUAUCUUGAAAACAGUGGGGAAGCGAAUAUUAAAAUACAUUUUUGUAUGUUAUUGCCAUUCAUUGAAAACAAUUAUAAGUAUAAAAAUAUAUUGAUCCAUAUAACCAAGCUUAAAAAAAAUCAAUGUACCCGUCCUACAGAAUUUUAAUAUUUUUACAUUAAACAGGAGUAUGUUUGUUUUGACUAGAUCCAGUAUACGUAAAUGCACAUGUACCUCUCAUUUUAAGAAUUUUCUUCUUUAGCUGGUCAGCACAAGCUUGACAGUGCAUGUUGACGCUGAGCUCGACGGUGGUGAGGCCGGAGACUUGAGAGGUUAUGACCGGUGGCAGCGGUUCUCCCUCGGCCGCCGGAAGCGGCGAGAGGACUUUGGCCAUUCUUUUAGUCUUCUUCUUGAUUUUGUUGCACACUGCUUGGGGAUCCAACACUCCUUUCACCGUCACUUGGUUCUCAUUCAUGUCCAUCACUACUUCUUCCACACCUAUGCAUUUUUACACAAAUAAAGUAAUUAUUCAUAUAAGAUAUAUAGGUACUUUAAAAAGUAUAGAUGCCUAGUUUCAAAUCUUAUUUUGGUUACAAUUAUUCUUUAGCUGAAUCUAUUUCUCCCUCUAUUAAUAUAUUUGUACCUCUAAUUUUUAGUAUAGAUCUUUGGAUCUUCUUAGCACAUCCUACACAAUGCAAGUCGACGUAGAGUAUGAAUGGUGGAGGCGGUGGUGGCGGCUGCGGCUCCUCCUCCACAGUUGGGUUUUCCUCCUCGGUCGCCGCUUGCUUCUCCUCCCCCACAUCUUUCUUCUUAUCCUCAGCGGAGGCGGGCUCUGGGACGGCCUCUGGAGCAGAGACUGCCUCCUUUUCCUCCUAAUAAUGAAAACAUCAGUUACCAAUUAAUAAUAAAAGGUUUUUGUUGCAAAUUAGAAUAUUGUUGAAUCUUACUUGUUUAACUUCUUCUCCCAUUUCUACAAUCACUGGAUAUUGGAAGAUGAAAUUGAAACGAAGAAGAGAGAGGGAUGUUUUGAAGGAUGAGUAGGGCAAGAGGGAGUAUUUAUAUGAAAGACUAAAAUAUAAAAAGACGAAGGAAGAAUUCGAAUUAUUGAUGAAUAAUGAAGGUUAUAGUAUAAGGUAGGAAUUAACAGAACAUAAAGCAUAAGAGGUUGAUUCCAUAGCACAUGGCAGAGAACUAAUCAUCGAACAUAUAUAGACACACCCCCUUCACCCUUGUACCUUAUAUAUAUAUUUAUUCUCACAUUCAGUUAUGUUUUAAUUAUAACUUUUUUUACAAACAACUUAUUCGACUUUUUUCGGUUUACUUUUUUUGUGAAAAGGUUUUGUUUUACCAUUUUUUUAAGAGGGCUGUGAACAGAUGUUGGUAUGUUUUAUAGACAUAUAAAGUGGGUGUUCUUUAUCAUUUCCGAUUAUCCUACUAUAUAUUAAUUGAUAAGUCACUUUAGUGAUUUUUGCUUACGUGUCAAUCAUUGGUGAACUCUUACAAAAUUAUUAAAAUUUGAUUGGUCGAUGAUAUUUUAUUUUUAUUUAUUUUAAUUAGAUCUAAAAAAAAAGUCUACAACCAAUUAAUAUCACUUGCCAAAUAAUUACAUAAUAUUACAAAAAUGAUUUAUGGUAACUAAUUGUUGAAAUUAUAGAAAGUGAAAUAAAUUGAUAAUUUUAAAUUUAAAAAAUACAUAAAAUAAUAAACGACAAACCAUUUAUAUAAAUCAACAUAAUGAUUUUAUAUUCUUAUAUAAAAGUAUUAUAUUUUAUAUAAAUUAUCAUAAUAACUAUUAACAUCUUUUAAAGUUCAUAUUAUAUGCUUUAUAAAUCAUCUAUAAAAACAUUUAUCAAAUUAUUUAUCUUGGCUUAUUGUAUAUUUUAAAUUAUUAUAAGAGUUUGUAAGUCAUCUAUAAGAGCUUAAAAUCAAAGCUAUAUAUCCUACUAUAUAUUAAUUGAGAAGUUAUUUAAGAGAUUUUUGGUUAUGUGUCGAUCAUUUAUGAAAUCUUUAAGAACUGGUAUAAAUUGAUUGUCGAUAAUUUUUAAUUUUGAUUUAUUUUUAUUUAUUUUAAUUAGAUUUAAAAGAAAAAAUAAGUCUAUAAACAGUUAAUAUCACUUGCCAAACAAUCUACAUAAUAUUACAAAUAAUUAUUUAUGGUAACUAAUUGUUGAAACUAUACAAAGAGUAAUAAUGUUUGAUCAAUUUUUAUAUAUUUAUAAACUACAUAAAAAUAGUAAACACAUUUAUUUAUUACAUCGAUAUAAUGAUUUUAUAUUCUUAUAUAAAGCCUUAUAUUUGCAUAUAAAGUAUUAUAAUAACUAUUAAUAUCUAAUAAAAUUCAUACAUGCUUUAUAAAUCAUUUAUAAAAACAUAAAUACAUUUAUAAAAUUAAUUAUCUUGGCUUAUCAUAUGUUUUAAAUUAUGAUAAGAGGUUUUAAUUUAUUUAUACAAGCUUAUAAAUUAAUUUAUAAAAUAUAUUUUUAAAUUUAAUUUUAUAUUAAAUGAUAAAUCACUUAAUUGAUUUUUUUCUUAGGUGUCGAUCAUAUAUAGAAUAUGAGAAAAAAUAUUAUAAUUUGAUUUGUUAAUGGGUUUUCAAUUUUUAUUUAUUUUAUGAGUAUGAAAAUUAGUUCUAGAAAUAAUUUUAUCAGUAUCCAAAACCUAAAUAUAUUGCACAAAAUAAUAUAUGGUAAUUAAAUAUGUUAUUUAUACAAUAUAUAUAAUGCUUCAUAAAAUCAUUUUUAGCAAUCAAGUAUUUCUAAACUAUAUAAAAUAUUUCAAAAUUUUUAGUAUUAUAUACCUUUAAAACUUAAGUAGUUUUAUUAAAAACUGAAUCAUGAAUAUUAUACAUAACUAAUUUUAGUACAAUUAUCAAUACAAAAUAUCAAAAAAUAUUUAAAAUAGUCAUAUUUAUCCUUUUUAAAACAAUUAUUCUUUGAAUAAAUAUUUAACAAAAACACAUAAUGAUAAAAACAUAUUUUAAUUUGAAAAAUUAUAAUAAAUAUAUUGUUACAAAACAUUUAAAUCCGCGAAACCGCAUGCAUCCACUUAAUUGCUUUGUAAAUGUAAUCACACGUAAUAUUUAGUUGCACUUAAGACUACUUUUUGGCAUACAAAUCAAUUUUUUUCUUUUUUUUUGCUAAAUCAAAUUUUUUCUUCAACAUGCGGAUUCAGUUUUUUUAAGUUUUGAUAUAGCGAACAUCAUCCUCAUGGUUGCACAUGCAAACGAACCACUAACACAACGAAGGAUUCAUUAUAAAAUUCAUUCAUGGGAGAAAGAUAUAUUCUUGAUAACGAGGAAAAUAAUAUAUAAGUAAAAAUAACCAUGGGACAAUAAUUUUUGGCAUCGAAAAGGACAAUACUUUGCAUCAUACUCACCGACUUUAGUGAUUACAUUAUAUAUUAAUUAUUCCUUCAUUUGUUAUAUAGAGGGAAUUUCUUUCGAAAUUCCUACUUUAAAGUCUAAUGUAUCUAAGUCAUAACCCAAUGUCGUUCGAGAAAAGAUGAUGAGAUGACUUGUCAUCAUCUCUACGACUCUCACACUCUACUUUUGACUAAUUUUUAUUUAUUAAGAGAAUAUUAGUUAUACAUUAUAGAGGUUAUAGCUUAAGGAAAGUAUUAUGUUUCUAUCUUUGUUAAAUAUUGGUGCUAAUAAACCUUAGUUACUCGUUCGUAUUCCUAAAUUUAAUAGAAGUUUCAUUAAAAAAUAAACUCUAAGUAUCUAACCUUUUAUUUUUGUAUUAGUGCGUCGUCGUCAUUUGCCAGUAUUAUGUAAUUAAGGAUAUUAUAAAAUGUUAAAAGUUAUCAUAUACUCCUCUCUUUACUUUUGUUUAAUUAAUACUUACAUUUUUUUUUCGAACUUUGCUUAUUGCAUAUAUUGCACAAACUACAUAGUGAAAUCAGUCAAAUGCACUAAGAUUGAUCAUAUGUGGCUCUCCUAUCUCCAACAUUGGGUUGGGGAACAAUAAUUGAAUCUGAUUUACAGUGGUAGGGUUUAUCUGUCAACUGCUAAAACAGUGCAUUUGCCAUAACAUUCACUCAUUCUGCACUUUCAUUGUCGGCUCAAUGAUGAUAAAUUCUGUUUACAACAUCAUACGAGAAAACCGUAGAAGAACGACGUUACUGACAGCCGAAACUUUUUGUAAAGUUUUAUGCACACUAUUAUAGUUUUUCUUUUUUACCUUACAAUUUUAUUAUAGUUUGAAUUUUUGCGCAACACUGCGGCGCACAUAAAUAAUAAAAAUUUCUCAGGAAUUAUGUUUUUUUCUCCUUGUCCAAAUAUUUUCGAAUAGUUUGACCUUUGAAGUGGAUAGAGAAGACAAAUCAAACUGUAGUUUUAUUCAUUGUAUGGAACUAUGCAAAGAAUUUAAUCUUGGUUCCUUAAAGCAGAUUUGUAGAUUUGAUUUAUUUCCUUUUAGAAGAAGCAUCUAAAUCCUUUACCUAUAAGUUCGGUCAGUUCUAUUACCGACACUAUUAACAAUCUAAUCAGUAGAAAACUCAUUAAACACUGUGUUUUAUAUUACAGUAUAUCAUUAAAAUUUUACAAACCAAAUAUAAUUUGGCAUGGGUGCAGCGUGGGGUGCACAACAAAUUUUGAAAAAGAAAUAUUAAAUAUUAUUUGUGAAUUAAAAAAUUUGUAAGAACCACGUGGGAUGAUUUUGAUUAAAUUUGGACAAAUGAAAGAUGAUCUAUAUAAUUGUUUCGCAGUUAAAGACAGCUAUGAAAGCAUUUUCAAAGAAAAUUCUAUUUUUUUCUCUAAAAUAAAGUAAAAAUAAUAUAAAAUAAAAAUAACUUUAUUUUAUUUUUUAUUCCUUCAUAUAUGAACAAAAAAGAUUUAUUUUAUUUGUGGAGUGAAAAAAAUAAUAUUAUGAAUAAUUUUUAUUUUAUAAUCUCUUUUACUCUAUUUUAAAAUAAAAAAAAUAGAAAAUGAUUGGAGAUGCCGUGGGAAACCAAUAGCGGAUGGUUACUUUUUAUUAUGCGACUAAUGUUAUUUAACGUCACGACAAUUGUUAUGUCACGUAUUAUUAUUACUUUUGAUUGAGCAUUACGUAACUAUUUUGAAUUUGAAUAUACGCAAAGUGAAACGUCGUGAUGAACGAAAUUUUGGAACCUCAUCCUCAUAUCGCACAUGCAUUUUGUUACCAAUCUAAACCAAGGUGUGUAAGUGUAACCGAAACCGGUCCAAAAAGGUUAAAGAGCCAUAAAUACCUAUAUAGUACAUAUUAAUUCUUUAAAAUUUGAGAGCUAAUUAAGACAAAUAAUUUAUUAAGUGUUGCCCAGAACCAGUCGUGUAUGUAAAAUCACAUGUGCGCUUUUUGAUUUAUUGCAGCCUUAAAAUAUAGAUGCGUAUGUAUAACAAAAUAUAAGCUACAGUUGGAUGAUCAUAAUUAGAAACUCAAGUGAUCCAAAGUGUGAUGAGAAUUCACUCAGAUUCUUGAUGCAUGUAGCUGAGCGGUUUCAAAUCCAUGUUUGGUACUACGAGUAACUUCUGAUUAGGGAUAAUUAUAAUAAAUCAGAAAACUGAUCCAAAUACAAUCUUAUACUCAAUUAACUUGAUUCGAAACCCGGGUCAUAGAUCUAGCCUUCAAGUAUAAAUUAGUUAGAGAUAUUAUAUUGUGGAUGCUUAAUAGAUUUUUAUUAGAAUUUAUUUUUACAACAUUCUUAAGAAUUUAGUUUAGCUUAUAUUUACUUAUAUAACGAUAUGCUUUUUUUAAUUCCAAUAGUCAGUAAUCAUCUUUGAUACAUUCUGAUUUUUAUCUAAUUAUACAUAUAUUCACAGUUAAACAUAUGUUUUAACUGUGUGUCUUAGUCUAUACGCCAAAAUAUCUGAUAGAUUUAAAGCAGAACACUAUUUCUUAAUAUUUAAUAUAUGAUUAUGUAUAUUUUCUUAAUUAAUAUGAAAUCAUGUUUGAUUGUACUAAUCAAAUGUUGUAUAGUGGUAUUCAACAUAAGAAAAGCCUUGGUCAGAAAAUAAUAAGAAAAUCCUUGAUGAGAGAUUAUGAUUGGUGAGGUCAUCCAUUUUUUUAUUUUUCUUUCUACUUUAUAGUAAUACUAGUGGUGUGUCCGCGCUACGCGCGGGUUGUCUAUAUUUUUAAAAUAUUUUUCUUGUUGUUUUCCUUUUGUAAAUAUAUUUUAUUUUUUUAUAAGGAAGCUACGCGCGGGUUGUCUAUAUUUUUAAAAUAUUUUUCUUGUUGUAUUCCUUUUGUAAAUAUAUUUUAUUUUUUAUAAGGAAUUAUUUUGAGUUGAUAUAUUUUGUGUCAGUACUCAACUUUUUUACCUAAACUACUUAUAUAUAAAAACAAAAGGAGUAUGAUCUAAGCUAGGUAUAAGUUAUUAGAACUGUUUAUUCUUAGGAGACAAUAGAAUUAGUAAACGGUUUAAAGGAAGAAAAAAAAUACAAUUAUGAUUUUUUUAAACUUACAACCCCUUUUCUAUAUUGUAAAGAUGUCUGAAAUCAUAGAUGUGUUUUCCUGCAUACUGGAUAGCUUAUGUUUCUACAAACCCAUUCAUUAAUGAAGUAAAAAUGAAAAUUAUGACUGUAAGUAAGAGAGCAUAGGUUGUUUCUAUAGUUGUAAUUUCUGAAGCGUAUAGUGCAUGUAUUGUUUUCUUGUUCUGUCAUCGGAGGCCUAAUAGUUUUCUCAAAUUGGUGAUGAUAAGGUUGAUGUCUAGUCUUACAAUUGUGUUGGAAUUAUUGUACGUGAUGGGAAGUGUAAAUUUAAAAUCAGCAGUUAUGUUAUAUUGUUGUUGGCUGUCAUGAGGUAUUGGCUAUUCUCGUGAACAAGGAAGCUGGAGUUGGGAUGGUGAAUCUCAUGGUACAUUAAAUUAUAUAUUCUUUAUGUAUUUUUCAUUUGAUUUAUACUUUCAUUAUUUUCUNNNNNNNNNNNNNNNNNNNNNNNNNNNNNNNNNNNNNNNNNNNNNNNNNNNNNNNNNNNNNNNNNNNNNNNNNNNNNNNNNNNNNNNNNNNNNNNNNNNNAUGCAACAAGCGUUAGGGUUCUCGUCGCUGAAAAGCUGCGGCGGAGGAACCCUUUCUAUGACGUAUGAAGGCUGAUAAUAAUACAUCAUCCUCUUCAUCCCUUCUUCUUCCCACACACGCAUCUCUUCCGAAGCCUCCAUCUCUUCUCCGUCACCGUCCUCUUCCUUUUCAUCUCCCGCCUCCUUCUCCUCUCCUGUUUCUGCGGGUUCCUCACCGCCUUCACCGGUCUCCUCCUUCUUUUCUUCCUCCACCUCAGGUUUUUCAGCUUCCGGGUCGGGUUGGGGUACGAUUCGGGCCUGCUUUUUGGUCCGACGGUAGACGUAGUCCACAAGUUUCUCUUCGUCCAUCGUCCCAGUCACUAUUACUUUUCCGUUGGUGUGCUCCGUUACAGUUGUUUGGACCCCUAAAAGCAAGAAUAUUAAUCAGUUUAAAUGAAUUAAGUUACACCAAUUUACCAAAGUAUACAGAAGGAACCGUGCUACCCACGUAUGGAUUUCCAUACAAACUGAAUUUAAAGUUGACGCAGGGACAUGAAAAUCAAAAAAGACUACAAAUUGAAAUAGUAUUGUGAUAUACGAAAACAUAUAUAUAUCUUGAAAACAGUGGGGAAGCGAAUAUUAAAAUACAUUUUUGUAUGUUAUUGCCAUUCAUUGAAAACAAUUAUAAGUAUAAAAAUAUAUUGAUCCAUAUAACCAAGCUUAAAAAAAAUCAAUGUACCCGUCCUACAGAAUUUUAAUAUUUUUACAUUAAACAGGAGUAUGUUUGUUUUGACUAGAUCCAGUAUACGUAAAUGCACAUGUACCUCUCAUUUUAAGAAUUUUCUUCUUUAGCUGGUCAGCACAAGCUUGACAGUGCAUGUUGACGCUGAGCUCGACGGUGGUGAGGCCGGAGACUUGAGAGGUUAUGACCGGUGGCAGCGGUUCUCCCUCGGCCGCCGGAAGCGGCGAGAGGACUUUGGCCAUUCUUUUAGUCUUCUUCUUGAUUUUGUUGCACACUGCUUGGGGAUCCAACACUCCUUUCACCGUCACUUGGUUCUCAUUCAUGUCCA